rnacentral:misc_RNA from 1 species
GCAAACUUGGUCAUUUAGAGGAAGUAAAAGUCGUAACAAGGUCUCCGUUGGUGAACCAGCGGAGGGAUCAUUAAAGAGUUACCACAACUCCUAAACCCUUUGUGAACUUACCUUAUUGUUGCCUCGGCAGUGCCGCAGUUCAUUUUUUAGAUGGCUGCCAUUGUUGUGCCUGCCGAAGGUCCCAAUCAUUAAACUCUUGUUUUAAUAAGAAAAUUCUGAAUUAUAAAUUAAAUUAAGUUAAAACUUUCAACAACGGAUCUCUUGGUUCUGGCAUCGAUGAAGAACGCAGC